rnacentral:rRNA from 1 species
UAAGGAAUAUUGCUCAAUGGGAGAAAUCCUGAAGCAGCAACGCCGCGUGGAGGAUGAAGGGUCUAUGACUUGUAAACUCCUGUAAAGAAGGAAAAAAUUCCCAUUUGAUGGGAGAUGAUGGUACUUCUGGAGUAAGCCCCGGCUAACUACGUGCCAGCAGCCGCGGUAAUACGUAGGGGGCAAGCGUUGUCCGGAUUUACUGGGUGUAAAGGGUGCUCAGGCGGAUUUGUAAGUCAGAGGUGAAAUCUUACAGCUUAACUGUGAAACUGCCUUUGAUACUGCAAGCCUAGAGUAUGGAAGAGAGUGAUGGAAUAUCUGGUGUAGCAGUGAAAUGCGUAGAUAUCAGGAGGAACACCGGUGGUGUAGACGGCUCUCUGGACCGUAACUGACGCUGAGACACGAAAGCGUGGGUAGCAAACA